UACGAAGGGGGCUAGCGUUGCUCGGAAUCACUGGGCGUAAAGCGCACGUAGGCGGCUUUCUAAGUCAGGGGUGAAAUCCUGGAGCUCAACUCCAGAACUGCCUUUGAUACUGGAGAGCUUGAGUCCGGAAGAGGUGAGUGGAACUCCGAGUGUAGAGGUGAAAUUCGUAGAUAUUCGGAAGAACACCAGUAGCGAAGGCGGCUCACUGGUCCGGUACUGACGCUGAGGUGCGAAAGCGUGGGGAGCAAACAGG
rnacentral:rRNA from 1 species